UAACUACUCCCUCCGUUUUAAAUUACUCGUCGUAGAAAUGAAUGUAUCUAGAACUAAAAUACAUCUAGAUAUAUCCAUUUCUACGAUGAGUAAUUCAAAACGGAGGGAGUAGUAA
rfam:Triticum aestivum genome assembly, contig: Triticum_aestivum_CS42_TGACv1_scaffold_374637_5AL